UUUCCGUAGGCGAACCUGCGGAAGGAUCAUUAUUGUAUACCCGAGGUGCGAGGGCUGUCGCUGACCCGAAAGGUCGUGCACGCCCGAGUGCCCUCACACACAUCCAUCUCACCCCUAUGUGCACCACCGCGUGGGUACCCCUUUGGCUUGUUCGGAGGGGGGCUUACGUUUUCACACAAACUUUGUAUGCAGUGUAGAAUGUAUUUUUUGUUUUUGCGAUCAAGAAAUAAAUACAACUUUCAACAACGGAUCUCUUGGCUCUC
rnacentral:misc_RNA from 1 species